rnacentral:rRNA from 1 species
CCUACGGGAGACAGCAGUGAGGAAUAUUGGUCAAUGGACGAGAGUCUGAACCAGCCAAGUAGCGUGAAGGAUGACUGCCCUAUGGGUUGUAAACUUCUUUUAUAUGGGAAUAAAAUGUUCCACGUGUGGGAUGUUGUAUGUACCAUAUGAAUAAGGAUCGGCUAACGCCGUGCCAGCAGCCGCGGUAAUACGGAGGAUCCGAGCGUUAUCCGGAUUUAUUGGGUUUAAAGGGAGCGUAGGUGGAUUGUUAAGGCAGUUGUUAAAGUUUGCGGCUCAACCGUAAAAUUGCAGUUGAAACGGGCAGUCUUGCGUACAGUCGCGGUAGGCGGUAUUCGUGGUGUAGCGGU